GUGGAUCCUCCCUCGAUUUGACACUAAGACGUGGGGCUUCAGGUUGGCCUGGACACAGAAGCCUGACAGUCUGUGCCUGGUGCUCCCUGGCACCACUAAACUCAUCUUUCUGCAUCCUCGCUGGGCUGUCCGCCCGAUUCCUCACAGACUGCAACCCAGACCUCUCCAGAGCUGGGCACAGGCUGGGCAUCUUCCUCAUGCUGCCAUAGCUAUCUUCGUCGUAUUCACUUAUUUUGUUUUCUGUGAACCCCAGGGAAAACCACAGCCGUGUUUCGGGCACUGCCUCCACCAGGACUCGUGAGCACAUGUGUAUUUCCAGCCUGCAGCUCCCAGUCCCCACACCCAGCUAAUUUUUUUUUUUUUUUUUUUUUUUUUUUUUUUUGUUCUUACUUUGUAGCCUGGCUCACUGGUCCUUCUUCAUGCCUCCCUGUCCUUGUCCCAUGGAUGUUUUCAUUUCAUGACAAAUAGAUGAAUAUUUGAUGAAUAUUGUGCCCUGUAUCCUCUUAAGGAGUUCAGUUAUGGGUUCCAUGGUGUCCCCCUCUUCAUAAUAAAUAUGUUGAAGUUCUAGCCUCCAGUACCUCAUGCCAUGUUCUGAUUAGAAAGUAGGGCUAUUGGCUG
rnacentral:lncRNA from 1 species